ensembl:misc_RNA Metazoa_SRP Metazoan signal recognition particle RNA
GCCGGGUGUGGUGGUGCACACCUGUAGUCCCAGUUACUCAGGAGGCUGAGGCAGGAGAAUUGCUUGAACCCAGGAGGUGGAGGUUGCAGUGAGGUGAGACCAUGCCACUGCACUCUAGUCUGGGUGACAGAGCAAGACUCCGUCUCAA